GACCACACAAAGUCAAUCAAUGGCGGGCGGAGGAGAAGAGGUGAAGAUUCUGGGGGGAUGGCCGAGCCCAUUCGUGAUGCGGCCGAGGAUCGCCCUCAACAUCAAGGGGAUCAGCUACGAGUUCCUCCAGGAAACGUUCGGCUCCAAGAGCGAGCUGCUGCUCAAGUCGAACCCUGUGUACAAGAAGGUCCCAGUUCUCAUCCACAACGGCAAGCCUGUCUGCGAGUCCAUGAUUAUCGUCGAGUACAUCGACGAGGUCUGGACUUCCGGCCCGGCCAUUGCCCCCGCCGAUCCCUACGACAGGGCCGUCGCCCGCUUCUGGGCUUUCUACGUCGACGACAAGAUUUUUCCAGCCCUUACGGGAAUAGGGAUGGGACCUACGCCAGAGGCAAAGGCGGAAGGGGCUGCUCAAAUGUCAGCUGGGCUGCAGCUGCUGGAGGAGGCCUUCAAAGAUUGCAGCAAGGGGAAGGGAUUCUUCGGCGGGGACACCGUUGGGUACGUCGACAUUGCCUUUGGUAGCCACUUGGGGUGGCUAAAGGCCAUUGAGAUAAUGACGAGCACCAAAUUUCUUGAUGAUGAGAAGACGCCUCUGCUAGCGGGAUGGGCGGAGCGCUUCUGCAGUGAUCCUGCUGUGAAGGAGGUGAUGCCAGAGACUGAGAAGCUGGUAGACUUUGCGAAGAUGCUCGUAGCAAAGAUCAAUGCGCCUCCGGCUAAUUGAUGUUCUCGGUUUUGAGAGAAUGGAAGGAAAAACUGAAUAAACAUUGUAGACUAAAGCUUUUGUUGUUCUUCAACAUUAGUGUAUGCCUGCAAUGUUGUGGUACAAUUAUAUCCUUAAUCCCUACUAGGUGUUUGUCUGUUUGAUUUAAUUCGAACUUAUGCACGAGCAAAGUUUGAUUAGUGAGGUGGUUUGUAGUUUGUUUGCUC
rnacentral:misc_RNA from 1 species